rnacentral:rRNA from 1 species
AAUUUCUCUCCCACUCGCUGCGCCCAUAUUCUCCCGCAACCCCCGCCCCGCGCCCCAACCUGAAUCCAGCCGGCCAGCCAACCCAGCGCGCCGGUGCCGCACCGGACCCCACAGGGACCCCGCGCGCCGCCGUCUCCGCCACCCAGCGCGCCUCCUUCACCGCCACCCCCACGUCUUCUUCGCCGCCACCAUCCAACGCACCGAUGCCACAACCACCACCCCACGAGAGGCACUGGCGCGCAUGAAUCCCACCGGAUCCCGACUGGAGUGGGCCGGCGACUUGCCCCUACCUCCCCUCACAUCCCGGAGACGGGCCACCCCUGCACCUCUGGGAGACGCGCAUCCCCCUGCCUCCUGCCGGUGCACCGCCUCCUGCACCUCCCGCCGACGAGCCGCCCCCUCCAGCUCCCUCUGACGUGCCGCUCCUCCACCUCCCGGUGAUGCACAGCCCAACCACCCCCCAGCAACGGCGCCCCCUGAUACCGGGCUCCCUUUAGCUGGCCACCGGAGCCGCACGCGGAGGAUUAGGUGAUGAGCGAGGUGCACCUGGCGGUGGCGGGCAGGUCAAGACGAGAGAAGCGAGACUGGGAGCGGCGACCUCGACGAAGAAGUCAACGGUGAAGUGAGAUCCCAAGGCCCCGGGUUGGAUACUUGGAUUAAGAGUGUUUUGAUGCGCUGGGGCUGUAAAUUGCCUGCACAAGGAUAUGCAGGGUGAAACAACCUACAAAAAAUGAUGUUACUGCCAUGGAGAUCGGUGUUGGGACAGGUGAUGGCUUGUUAUGAAAUUUAGUGAAUGAGAAAAUUGCUCUAUUGUUGUGCUUGUACAACUGUGUAAUUUUUCUGAUUUUUAUUUGUUUUUGUGAAGGUCAAAAUGUUGUGUCCGAGAAGUUCAAGUAUGUUACUUUAUACGGUAUUAUUGAGAAGCUCCAACUGGUUGUAGCAGUGCAUUGAGAAACAGAGUGAAAAACAUCUAUAAAAGAUGGAAGUUCAGGAGGAUCAAAAAAGAAAAAGAAGAAAGGAAAAGCUCACACUUCUGUCGUUGAUAUUUACAGCGACAAACAAG